AAGCGUAGUAAUUCUUCUCGCUAUAGUCCCCGGGAGAACACUUGCCAUAACCCCCCACACUUUUAAGGUUGACCUCGGAUCAGGUAGGGAUACCCGCUGAACUUAAGCAUAUCAAUAAGCGGAGGAAAAGAAACCAACAGGGAUUACCUCAGUAACGGCGAGUGAAGCGGUAACAGCUCAAAUUUGAAAUCUGGGUCUUUUAGGCUCCGAGUUGUAAUUUGUAGAAGAUGCUUCGGGUGUGGCCCCGGUCUAAGUUCCUUGGAACAGGACGUCAUAGAGGGUGAGAAUCCCGUAUGUGACUGGGUGCUUUCGCUCAUGUGAAGCUCUUUCGACGAGUCGAGUUGUUUGGGAAUGCAGCUCAAAAUGGGUGGUAUAUUUCAUCUAAAGCUAAAUAUUGGCCAGAGACCGAUAGCGCACAAGUAGAGUGAUCGAAAGAUGAAAAGCACUUUGGAAAGAGAGUUAAACAGUACGUGAAAUUGUUGAAAGGGAAGCGCUUGCAAUCAGACUUGCACGCCGUUAAUCAUCCAGGGUUCUCUCUGGUGCACUUAGCGGCGUUCAGGCCAGCAUCGGUUUUAGGGGUGGGAUAAAGGCCUUGGGAAUGUAGCUUCUUUCGGGAAGUGUUAUAGCCCUCGGUGCAAUGCCGCCUCCUGGGACCGAG
rnacentral:rRNA from 1 species